rnacentral:rRNA from 1 species
UAAAUCAAGCGUUUAAGGGCGAUUGGCGGAUGCCUUGGCACUGUAAGACGAUGAAGGACGUGGUAUACUGCGAUAAGUUUCGGGGAGCUGUAUGCAAGCUUUGAUCCGAAAAUUUCCGAAUGGGGUAACCCAACACUUCGUGUGUUACUUUAUACUGAAUACAUAGGUAUAAAGAGUGAACCUGGAGAACUGAAACAUCUAAGUAACCAGAGGAAAAGAAAUCAAUUGAGACUCCGUGAGUAGUGGCGAGCGAAAGCGGACUAGGCCAGCAACUUAGUAUUAGACAAUUUGAAUAGUUUGGAAAAACUAACCACAGAGGGUGAUAGUCCCGUAAAAGUAAUGCUAAUCUAAGUUCAUGAGUAGAGCGGGACACGUGAAAUCUUGCUUGAAUUUUGGGGGACCACCCUCUAAGCCUAAGUACUCUACAGUGACCGAUAGUGAACUAGUACCGUGAGGGAAAGGUGAAAAGAACCCCUAUUAGGGGAGUGAAAUAGAACCUGAAACCGAUUGCCUACAAACAGUCGAAGCUCUUUUUAGAGUGACGGCGUACCUUUUGUAUAAUGGGUCAGUGACUUAAUUUGUACAGCAAGCUUAAGCCGAUUAGGUGGAGGCGCAGCGAAAGCGAGUCUUAAUAGGGCGUUUAGUUGUAUGAAUUAGACCCGAAAACGAAUGAGCUUACCAUGAGCAGGUUGAAAGUAGGGUAACACCUACCGGAGGACCGAACCAGUUGACGUUGAAAAGUCUUUGGAUGACUUGUGGUAAGGGGUGAAAGGCCAACCAAAUUCGUAGAUAGCUGGUUUUCCGCGAAAACUAUUUAGGUAGUGCGUUGAAUAAACAGACUUUUGGAGGUAGAGCACUAAAUGGGCUAGGGGAGAGAAAUCUCUACCAAACCUAAUAAAACUCCGAAUGCCGAAAGUCAUUCCUCAACAGACAGACUGUGGGUGCUAAGGUCCAUGGUCGAGAGGGGAACAGCCCAGAUCACCAGAUAAGGUCCCUAAAUCAUGAUUAAGUGUGAAAGGAUGUGGAGACUCCUUAACAGCCGGGAGGUUGGCUUAGAAGCAGCCAUCCUUUAAAGAUAGCGUAACAGCUCACCGGUCUAAUAGAGUUUCUGCGCCUAAGAUGUAACGGGGCUCAAAUCAUGUACCGAAUCUGUGGGUGUAUAAAGUUUUCGAAUUUUAUACGCGGUAGCGGAACGUUCUGUAAGCCUGCGAAGGGAUACCUGUGAGGGAUCCUGGAGGUAUCAGAAGUGCGAAUGCUGACAUAAGUAACGAUUAACAGAGUGAAAAACUCUGUCGCCGAAAAUCCAAGGGUUUCUGCGCAAGGUUAAUCCGCGCAGGGUUAGUCGGCCCCUAAGACGAGGGCGAAAGCCGUAGUCGAUGGGAACUAGGUUAAUAUUCCUAGACCAGAUGGUAGUGACGGAUUUCGUAAGUUGUUAACUCUUAAUGGAUUGAGUUAGCCGCGAAGAAGUUCCAGGAAAUAGCUCCAUCAUUAGACCGUACCCGAAACCGACACAGGUGGAUUAUUAGAGUAUAAUUAGGCGCUUGAGAGAAUGAUGUUGAAGGAACUCGGCAAAUUGCCUCUGUAACUUCGGAAGAAAGAGGACCCAUUUUUAGGCAACUAUAAGUGGGUGGCACAAGCCAGGGAGAAGCGACUGUUUAUCAAAAACACAGGGCUCUGCUAACACGUAAGUGGAUGUAUAGGGUCUGACGCCUGCCCGGUGCCGGAAGGUUAAUGCGAUGGGUGCAAGCUCAUUUCUGAAGCCCCGGUGAACGGCGGCCGUAACUAUAACGGUCCUAAGGUA